CUCGCUGUGAGUUUUCUGCCUCCUUUCUUCAGUAAUUUUUUACAUCUAUAUGUAUACAUAUUUUCUUUUGUUUAUAAGAGAGUUGGUUUACGUGCUAGUGAAUGAUAGUUCUCUAUCUCAUUACUGGAAAGCUGGAGAGAGAAGGGCACAGAUCUCCUCACUAGUGUUGCUGGCUUCCAGCUGGCCUUAGAUGUUUUUUGUGUUUGUCUACAAGAGCAACAAGACUUUUUAGCUGCCUGUGCACUAUGAUAGAACGUUACAAUGAGACAGAGUACCCUGACCUUGGGGAAAGGCUCUAACCUAGUGUUUUUAUAGAGAUGAGGAAGCAGCUUUGACAAGUGGAAUUUAAGCCCUGGAUGGUCCUGGACUAUCUAGCCAUUGCUUAAUCUUCUUAAUAUGAUGCCAUGCAUUACUGAAAAGCAUUCAGGAGCUACUGAGUUGUACAAGGAAACCUGGAUUGAAAUCAUCCUUCAUUUGCCCCUUGUGUGCUAUACUACAUGCAGCUUCAACACUGUGAAUUUCACAGCACUAGCAACUUUCCAAAAGCUGCCAUAUAGCCUAUAC